rnacentral:lncRNA from 1 species
AGCUCUCCCGCCCCUCCGCCCUGCACCCCUCCCGCCCUAGGGCUCUUUCCUGGACUGCGGCUGCAGCCUUCUCUUCCCGGAGGGCUCAGAGUUCGUCCCCUUUUCGCGAUUGGGAACGUGGACACGCCGGAGCCUGGAUGCAGAAGGGCGCGCGGGAACAGGGAGCUGGUGCGCGAGCCGCAGCCCAGCGUCCAGGCCGCCCCACUCUCUGCUGAUCCAAAGGACUAGGGAAACCCUGCGCGCCGACGGUGGCCUGGACGUUGGCGCGGGCCCUGGCGCUAAAAAACGGAUCCCAUUUCCAGAAAGGCGGGCCGGGUAUCCCGCUCCUGCCUCCUGGAGAAUUAGCUCGGCGGAGGUCGACCAGCCGGGUAGGGAGGGAGGGAUGGAGGGACAGGCCUAGGGUCGACCAGCCGGAUAGGGAGUAGCUUCUGGGAGCUCCCUUGCCUACGGAGGGCCGGUGAGGCUGCCCUCAGAGCGCCGCCAGGUACGUGCUUUUUCCUUGUUUCCCGCGCGCCCAGAGCACACUCUGGGGAGGGAAGGAAUAAAAACCCAGCUGGUGUGUAGGAGAUUUUCGCACCAAACGUGUCUUUCUGAGGGGUCCUGGGACGGUAGCCGAACUCGGGGUAGCCUCCUGAGCUGUAUUCUGGAAUCCCUACUGGGCUCUCCACCACCCGUAAGACGGGCUUGGAGCCAGUUCCUGUGGAAAUGCGCGUCACUUUCUUCAGAGGCCCACGAAAUUCAUCCAGGACUCCAUGGGUACUACAGCAAGAUGGCUCUGUUUCGAAGUGGUUCAUACAGUUAUCCCCCAACCCGGAAACCUAGAAUUCUCGUUUUCUGAACCGGGAUGUUUACUUUAGGGAAACCUGGUCUUGGCUUCUGCUGCGCGCCGGGUGUCUAGGAACGAAUCCCUCCUGGAUCCGGGAACCCCAGAUUUGCGGGGUUAGGAGAUACCCUCAGAGUUGUGGUUUUUUGUUGGUGGUGGUUUGUUAAGAGCCUGGUAGCUGAACUGGAGCGGGCCCCGUCCCCUCCCCCAUACCCACUUCAAACAAAAGAGCUCCUCCGAGAAUAUUUUUUAAGGGGAAAGCGCUUCUGAAUGUGGACCCUCAGUUCUCCCCGCCCCCCGUUCCGAGGAAGGACAAGGGUUUUAUAUGUGUGUUUAAAACAAAGGCGAAGCUAGACGCGAGUUGCCGGGAAAGGGCCGCUUUUAUUUUAAAGUUCUUGAAGAAUUCACUUUCUUUUCUCCCAAGUUAGCUGCAGCUGAGCCAGAAGCGUCCCCACUGGCUUACCCGAUAGUGGGAUUUUACACGGUGUCGGCUAAGGGUGGCUUUGUGAGAAGACCAUUUCAGAAGAAGAAACGGGGCUCUGGCUGGUGGGGUAGAAACCCCUAUGGAAUGAAAAGUACUCCCAGUCUCUUUGAGGAAGAUUGCAAAGUAAGAAACCCCGCUGGGCUCCGGCUCUGAACAGCACCGGAGGACUGCAACGCCCACCCAGGCCCUGCUGCGGGUCUCCGGUGGCCUCAGCUCCUGUCGGGUAACCUCCCUAGGCCUCCCGGAACGCUCACCGGAGCUCGAGCCUUUGGACGUUCAGGGGGCUCCAACUUUAUGUGGGGAUCCCCGGACCGCCAGUGCCUGCCUCCCCACCCCCCACCCUCAUCCCUUUGUUCGCCUCUCCGGACACCGAGUUGAAG